UACGGGGGGAGCAAGCGUUGUUCGGAUUUACUGGGCGUAAAGGGCGCGUAGGCGGCCACUGCAAGUCGGUUGUGAAAUCUCCGGGCUUAACCCGGAAAGGUCAACCGAUACUGCAGGGCUAGAGUGCGGAAGGGGCAACUGGAAUUCUCGGUGUAGCGGUGAAAUGCGUAGAUAUCGAGAGGAACACCUGCGGCGAAGGCGGGUUGCUGGGCCGACACUGACGCUGAUGCGCGAAAGCUAGGGGAGCGAACAGG
rnacentral:rRNA from 1 species